GCCUUCGUGGUGUAGUGGUCAGCCCGCUCGUCGAGUAACCGAGAGGUCCGUGGUUCGAUUCCCGGCGAAGGCG
rnacentral:tRNA from 1 species